UACAGAGGGGGCAAGCGUUAUUCGGAAUUAUUGGGCGUAAAGGGCGCGUAGGCGGCUUUUCAAGUGACGGGUGAAAUCCCUCGGCUUAACCGAGGAACUGCCUGUCAGACUGGAAGGCUUGAGACCGGGAGAGGUGAGUGGAAUUCCCAGUGUAGCGGUGAAAUGCGUAGAUAUCAGGAGGAACACCGGUGGCGAAAGCGGCUCACUGGACCGUUACUGACGCUGAGGUGCGAAAGCUAGGGGAGCAAACGGG
rnacentral:rRNA from 1 species